UACGUAGGGGGCGAGCGUUGUCCGGAAUCAUUGGGCGUAAAGAGCUCGUAGGCGGUUCAGCAAGUCGGCUGUGAAAUUCCGAGGCUCAACCUCGGAACUGCAGUCGAUACUGCUGUGACUCGAGUCCGGUAGAGGAGAAUGGAAUUCCCGGUGUAGCGGUGAAAUGCGCAGAUAUCGGGAGGAACACCAGUAGCGAAGGCGGUUCUCUGGGCCGGUACUGACGCUGAGGAGCGAAAGCGUGGGGGGCAAACAGG
rnacentral:rRNA from 1 species